CGGAGGUGGAGGAUAAGAGAGCGCAGAGAGCAACAGAGAGACUGAGAAAUGGAGAAGUACUUCGGAAACGCAUACAGAGGCGACCCGGGGGUCCCACACGCCGACCCGGAACGAUUUGUGAACAUAUGGAUCGGGUCCGCCGCCUUCUCAGCCCUCACCUGGGUCAAUCCCUACAUGUGGCAGCUCUCCAAUCAGUUCAAUUGGCAUGACAAAGCAAUGCUGUUUGAGCAGUACCACUGGAAGAAGGCCAUGAAGAAAGGGGAGCCCUACAAAUUUAAGUGGAACGAGUACAUGGACAGGGACCACAGGGAGUCCUACUAUUUCAACUGGCCUGUUUACUUCCCUUAGCUGUUUUUACUUGUAUGUUGAAAUGGGCAUGCUCUUGUUUCUAAUUCGACUUAGCUGAAACUCUCAUAGCAUGAAGGGUUAUAAGGUGAUUGAGUUUGAAAAUGAUUUCCGCACGCCCAUUGCCUUGGAAUCCAGGAACAUAAAUAAACACGGGCGUGCGGAAAAGUGGUUUGCAAAAAUCAUUUCCUUUGAAUCUCUGCAUUUGUAACGAUAUUUGACAAGCAUCGUAACAUAUUUUGUCAUUCUUAUUCAGACA